CCUACGGGAGGCAGCAGUGAGGAAUCUUGGUCACUGGCCGUAAGGCUGAACGAGCCAAGUCGCGUGAGGGAAGAAGGAUCUAUGGUUUGUAAACUUCGUUUAUAGGGGAAUAAAGGUAUCAACGUGUGGAUAUUUGAAUGUACCCUAUGAAUAAGCAUCGGCUAACGACGAGCCAGCAGCCGCGGUCAUACGGAGGAUGCGAGCGUUAUCCGGAUUUAUUGGGUUUAAAGGGUGCGUAGGUUGUUUUGUAAGUUUGUGGUGAAAGUUUUUGGCUCAACCCUAAAAUUGCCGUGGAAACUGGAAGACUUGAGUGUAGUUGAGGUAAGCGGAAUGCGAGGUGUAGCGGUGAAAUGCAUAGAUAUAAGGCAGAACUCCGAUUGCGAAGGCGGCUUACUAAGCCAUAACUGACGCUGAAGCACGAAAGCGUGGGGAUCAAACAGGAUUAGAUACCCCAGUAGUC
rnacentral:rRNA from 1 species